UAAUACGAAGGGUGCAAGCGUUAUCCGGAUUCAUUGGGUUUAAAGGGUGCGUAGGCGGAGCGUUAAGUCAGUGGUGAAAUCCCGCAGCUCAACUGUGGAAUUGCCAUUGAUACUGGCGCUCUUGAGUGCGGUUGACGUGGGCGGAAUGUGCCGUGUAGCGGUGAAAUGCUUAGAUAUGGCACAGAACACCGAUCGCGAAGGCAGCUCGCGAAGCCGCAACUGACGCUGAGGCACGAAAGCGUGGGGAUCGAACAGGAUUAGAUACCCUGGUAGUCCACGCCGUAAACGAUGAUCACUCGUGAUUGGCGAUACACUGCCAGUCACCUAGCGAAAGCGUUAAGUGAUCCACCUGGGGAGUACGAUCGCAAGAUUG
rnacentral:rRNA from 1 species